GGGUGCGAUCAUACCAGCGUUAAUGCACUGGAUCCCAUCAGAACUCCGCAGUUAAUCGCGCUUGGGCUAGAGCAGUACUGGGAUGGGUGACCUCCCAGGAAGUCCUAUCGUUGCACCCU
rnacentral:rRNA from 1 species